GGGAUUCCCCUAGUAACGGCGAGUGAAGAGGGAGAAGCCCAGCGCUGAAUCGUGUUGCUUGCAAAGGUGAUGCGAAAUGUAGCGUGAAGUUGGCGGCUAUUGCUGUUGUCGAUGCGUGUAAGUCUUCUUGAGUGGGGCUCAGUCCCAGAGAUGGUGCUAGGCCCGUAUCGCGCGUGACAAGUACAGCAAUGCACGUUAACGGAGAGUCAGGUUGCUUGGGAACGCAAUCUAAAGCCGGUGGUACACUCCAUCGAAGGCUAAAUAUGGCUACGAGUCCGAUAGCGAACAAGUACCGUGAGGGAAAAUUGAAAAGCACUUUGAAGAGAGAGCGAAAUAGUGCGUGAAACCGCUCAGAGGUAAGCAAAUGGGCCUUUGAAGGUGUGCAUAGGAUUUAGUUUUCCUAGUUCGCACGCCACCGUCGUUGCUGAUUUUGUGCGCCAAUUGUCGACAUUUGGACGCCCGAGAUUGGGACUCGUGCCUGCUUGGGACGCUCGGCGUUGAACAAUUGAGUAGUUGCGGCACUCGGUAACGAAGCAGGGCAAUGUCGUCGCUGCAAAGCGCCGGUCGUGCUUGCUUGCCGGCGUAUGCUGCAUAGACGUGACGCAAGUCUCGGCGUGCAUUAUACGCUGCAAAACUGGCAUUGACCCCGGCAUGACGAUUG
rnacentral:rRNA from 1 species